GCGGUGGAUUAAAAUGAAAAAAAUGGAAGUAGAAAUGCUAAUCAGAAGAUGAGAAAAGGGGGAAGAAAGACUAAACUCUAGCUAGAGGGAGAAAAGAGGAAAGGAGUUUAAAUUCUUGCUAGAAGAUAAAAGAAAAGAAGAGAAGAAGCUUAGGAUUCUACAUCAGAUAAUUUUAUGCCAUAUCAGCUUCAACUAAGUGUCAUGUGAUGGGACAUGACCAUCUCUAUCAUGGUCUUG
rnacentral:lncRNA from 1 species